rnacentral:rRNA from 1 species
UACGUAGGGUGCGAGCGUUAUCCGGAAUUAUUGGGCGUAAAGAGCUCGUAGGCGGUUUGUCACGUCUGCUGUGAAAACUGGAGGCUCAACCUUCAGCCUGCAGUGGGUACGGGCAGACUAGAGUGCGGUAGGGGAGAUUGGAAUUCCUGGUGUAGCGGUGAAAUGCGCAGAUAUCAGGAGGAACACCGGUGGCGAAGGCGGGUCUCUGGGCCGAUACUGACGCUGAGGAGCGAAAGCGUGGGGAGCGAACAGG